rnacentral:lncRNA from 1 species
AGUUAAAAGUACUUAUUUUUUUACUGAAAAAUAACAUCGAAUUGGUUUUUUUUAUUGACUCGGCCGGUCCGACCACCCGAGUCACUAGUUUUAGGCUUAAACUAAACAGGCCAACCCGAUUUGAUGCAAAACUCGUUAGAUAAGAGGCUCAGACCGGUUAUAUGUUUGGUUCACGGUUGAACCGGUCGAACCGACUGAUUCGAGUCGAGUUUUAUAAAAGUUUAUACUCCUUAUAUAGUAUUAAAUAAUUUAUACAAAAAAUAUAUAUCAAAUAUUAUAUUUUUUAUUUCCUUCAUAUUUCAACAAAAUCUUUCACUUCUUCAUAAUAAUGUUGAGCCAUUGGAUUUUGGCAGAAAAAUAAAUGGAUGAUUAAUUUUAAAACAUUGACCUAAUUUUUGACAAUUCCAGACUAAUAAGUACUUUUACUUACUUUUCUUAAUAUGUAUGCGAGAAUUAAAAUUAAUUUAUAAAUAAAGACAAUGAUAUAUUAUAAUAGGGUUUUUUUAGUUUCCUACAAGUAUCUUCGCACCAGAAACAUUAUUGUCUAAGUCGAGAACAUCAAAGGUAUGCGAGACUAACUCUCUCAACAAAUAUUUUUUUCAUCCAUAUCAUAAUAGUUUUAGCUAGACUAACAGACCAAACAUGUCUAGAAAAAACUCUUUAUAAAUACAGCAGACUUAGAACCCCCACUAGCGAACCAGAAGUGUGUGUCUUGUGCAACCUAGUAUAGUUCGAGUGGGACAUAUUGGGUGUAGGGAGAAGUAGGGAUAAUAAUGAGUAUAGAUAAUAUACAACUCGACCCACCCUCUUCAUUCAUUUUUAGAUCCAGACCUUCAUGGUUACAGAUUGGUAUGCUAUCCACUUAUCUUUGGGUCCCAGAAAAUCAAAAAACAAUACAAACUUAUAUAAUUAUAUAUCUAUUUCCUAUAAUCCUAAAUGUUAUUUAGGCAAUCAAAAAGAGAAAAAUACCAACAAAAAAAAGUAUAAAACAUAAUUUAAGUUGUCUAUUAAAUACAAAUAUUUUUACUUCAACAAACUUUGGAAAAUUUACUUGAAGUGUCUAAUUAAA